AGCUGAUUUCUGCAAUGAAUACAGUUUAGCUAAUGAGGAAGUAGGCAGCACUUCUCUGUGAAUUAUGGAUCGUGUGCUGAGAAGAAGCCUGCUCCAUAUGUCACUUUCAUCUGAGUGAGUGAAGAGAAGAUGCAUAUUAUUAUUUUGUUUUAGCCAGAAUGGCUUACAUGCAUAGCUGGCUGUCUAGAUUUGGGGCUGGUUAUGAGGAUGGAGCUAUCCUAAGCUAGUGGCUCUCCUCAUGGUCCCUGGAAAACUGCUAUCCCUCUGGACAUCACACUUGAGUUCCAGUAAGGAAGAAGAACACAGGGCUAUGCAUGAAAAGUCACACUAGGUGAAAUGUAAAGUGAACUGUUGGAAGCUACUUUUGAGUGAGUGAAGCUAUGCGGCAUUUUCCCCACUUCUCUGACCUGGAUGUAGCAAAAGUUUGCAGAUGACAUUCUAUUGGUCAAUGGGUUUUCACAAGAUUCAGACAAUCUGCCAAGGAAGCUGUGAGUUAUAUUCAGAGUGGUUCACAGAACACAUAUAGUUUUGUACCUUCAGACACCAGGAGAUUCUAUUGGACAAGGUCUCCUUGGACUGCAAGGAGAUCAAACUAGUCAGUCCUAAAGGAAAUUAUCCUGAAUAUUCAUUGGAAAGACUGAUGCUGAAACUGAAGCUCCAAUACUUGGGCCAGGUGAUGAGAAGAGCUGACUCAUUGCAAAAGACCCUGAUGCUGGGAAUGGAGGCAGGGGAAGGGACGACAGAAGACAAGAUGGUUGGAUGGCAUCACCAACUCAAUGGAUAUGAGUUUGAACAAGCUCCGGUAGGUGGUGACGAACAGGGAAGCCUGGCGUGCUACAGUCCACAGGGUCAAAAACAGCUGGACAUGACUGAGCGGCUGAACAACAACAACUACUGAACAACCCUUGUCCAAAGCAUAAAGCACUGCGAAUAAAGGAAACUGCUGAUGAUGGUGCAGAGCUAAUCAGUAGAGGGAAGAUUUGCUGAGCAGUGAAUAGGAUUUAAGUCCUGGAAUUGCUCCGCUUCACCCAUCCUUACAUGGCAUUGUC
ensembl:lncRNA